GAGUUUGAUCAUGGCUCAGAUUGAACGCUGGCGGCAUGCCUUACACAUGCAAGUCGAACGGCAGCACGGGAGCUUGCUCCUGGUGGCGAGUGGCGAACGGGUGAGUAAUGCAUCGGAACGUAUCCUGGAGUGGGGGAUAACGUAGCGAAAGUUACGCUAAUACCGCAUAUUCUGUGAGCAGGAAAGCGGGGGACCUUCGGGCCUCGCGCUCUUGGAGCGGCCGAUGUCGGAUUAGCUAGUUGGUGAGGUAAGGGCUCACCAAGGCGACGAUCCGUAGCAGGUCUGAGAGGAUGAUCUGCCACACUGGAACUGAGACACGGUCCAGACUCCUACGGAGGCAGCAGUGGGGAAUUUUGGACAAUGGGGGGCAACCCUGAUCCAGGCCAUGCCGCGUGAGUGAAG
rnacentral:rRNA from 1 species